rnacentral:lncRNA from 1 species
AUACAAGUCACUAUUUCCACAUAUAUAAUCCAAGGGAAAACAACAAGCUUGAGAAUAAAAUUCAAACAGGUUCACUUCCCAGGUCAGCAGCCACACCCUGCUUCAUUUAAAUCAAAUGUAACCUAGUUCCAAAUGCCAAAAGAUAAUACAUAAUUCAGGAUUUUUAGGGAAUACAUAAUAUAACCAAAAUUAUGAAACAAUAUAUAUCAUACUUUUACAUACGUUCCCAUUUGCUGCUCCCAUUCUCCUAAGCUUUGUAGAUUCAGCAAAUGUAAAAUGCCUUGAACAUGACGGAAAUCCUUGUACAUGUUUAUCUAUAAGUUAUUAUCUAUAUUUCAAUCAAAGUUGUGAAAAAAUACAUACAGACCCAUCUUUGUAUAGCAAACUACUAAAAAGUGGCGUGAAGCAAAAUUUCAAAUGAAUAAAUAAAACUUAAGAAAGUACUCACUCUGAUAAAAGAGUUGCAUCCAGGUCAAACAGUUGCUUCAUUUCAGCAAAUAAUCAGUCUGUUAACGAGGUUGCUACUCGCAACCAUGAGAACUGAACCAACAAUCAGACCUUCUUCUCACUCCCCUCUGUAAAAGGUUUUAACUUUAGUCAUUAAUGAACAAAAUAUGUUACCUUUACAUGUAAUUUACCAUAUGAAUAAAAACCAAGUUAAAUCACUGAUGCAGUGAUGCAUCAUACUCCAUGUUUAGUUGUUACACUUCAGCAUUUGAUAGAAAAUAUUUUAACUCCUGUAAAAAGCUUAUAAAUUACAAGUAUUACCGUAGAGUAAAAUGCUAAUUCUACAUUAUUUAGAAACUAGAUAAUGGUAAAGAGCAAAGGCUUAAACGUUCUAUUCUUAGUUCUUACAUGAAUAAAUAUCAAAGUUAUCGCGAGUAUAUAAAAGCUAAACAAUACUACAUUGUCUAACAAAAAGUGUUAAAUAUGUGUAAAUUAUAUUAAUUAAACAUUAACAGCUAACCAAAGACAUUACAUUAUUUUCAUAGCUCAAAAGAAGGAUUACACUCCAUCAUUUAAAAAAAAAGCUAAACUUUGACCCAAUCUAUCAUGUAUAUUGUUUAAACUUCUAUUAUCAUAUUCAAGAAGCAACUCCAUUCAUGUUAAUAGUUUACUUUUCAUCAAAUGGCAGCAAAUCACUGGGGGUGUUUGGGAUUCCUUCUCAAAAACAACUUAUUAACUUAUAUAAGUCAUAAGUUAUAAGUUAGAAUUUCUAACUUCUCAAAAACAACUUUUUCACACACAAAAACAACUUAAAUAAGUUAAACCAAACACUAUAAAAACAACUUAUUUAACUUUUAUAAGUCAAUAACUUAUAAGAUGCUCCAAAAUAAGCUAACCCAAAAGUAAGGAUUUUGAUAUCUAGAAGCGGUAUAUGUACAUAACUAACAGUUACAAAAUAUUGUGUAUUGAAAAUAAGUGGAAGUAAGAAAAAAAACAGAUACCAACUUCUGAAUAACAUGAAACGAAUGUAAGGGAUGAUUCACCAAAUAGAAGCGAGACUCAUACCUUGGUGGAAGAUCCUUUCAUAUCUGAGAUCUGAGUGUUGGACCAGGAUAUCGAUGAAACCUCAAAUUGAUUGUUAGGCAGAACAGAAAUCGAUGAAGACAAAUACAUUUGGUGGUAUCAAUUUAAACCCAAUAUCAUUGUGAAAUGUCCAAAGACGAAAAACUGGAUGACAAUUGCUAGAGUGCAAGAACCAUUCACUCAAUUAGCGGUAAAACAAGUUGCAAUUAGAGACUAGAGAACCAAUCGUUC